AACGAACGCUAUCGGUAUGCUUAACACAUGCAAGUCGGACGGACUAAUUAGGGCUUGCUCCAAUUAGUUAGUGGCAGACGGGUGAGUAACACGUGGGAAUCUGCCCAUCAGUACGGAAUAACUUUUAGAAAUAAAAGCUAAUACCGUAUAUUCUCUACAGAGGAAAGAUUUAUCGCUGAUGGAUGAGCCCGCGUCAGAUUAGGUAGUUGGUGAGGUAACGGCUCACCAAGCCGACGAUCUGUAGCUGGUCUGAGAGGAUGAUCAGCCACACUGGGACUGAGACACGGCCCAGACUCCUACGGGAGGCAGCAGUGGGGAAUAUUGGACAAUGGGCGAAAGCCUGAUCCAGCAAUGCCGAGUGAGUGAUAAAGGCCCUAGGGUUGUAAAGCUCUUUUAGCAAGGAAGAUAAUGACGUUACUUGCAGAAAAAGCCCCGGCUAACUCCGUG
rnacentral:rRNA from 1 species